rnacentral:rRNA from 1 species
UGGGGAAUAUUGGACAAUGGGCGAAAGCCUGAUCCAGCCAUGCCGCGUGUGUGAAGAAGGUCUUCGGAUUGUAAAGCACUUUAAGUUGGGAGGAAGGGCAGUUACCUAAUACGUAAUUGUUUUGACGUUACCGACAGAAUAAGCACCGGCUAACUCUGUGCCAGCAGCCGCGGUAAUACAGAGGGUGCAAGCGUUAAUCGGAAUUACUGGUCGUAAAGCGCGCGUAGGUGGUUAGUUAAGUUGGAUGUGAAAUCCCCGGGCUCAACCUGGGAACUGCAUUCAAAACUGACUGACUAGAGUAUGGUAGAGGGUGGUGGAAUUUCCUGUGUAGCGGUGAAAUGCGUAGAUAUAGGAAGGAACACCAGUGGCGAAGGCGACAUACUGGCUCAUUACUGACGCUAAGGCUCGAAAGCGUGGGGAGCAAAC